rnacentral:misc_RNA from 1 species
GGGGGGCAUGCGGCCAGCCGUCCACUCCCCCCAAACAACAAUAACAGCAUGGCAAUAAGGCCAUCAGCAGUGGCCAACCACUCAACCAACUCUAUCUAUGGCCAAAGGUUCAACACAUCUGAUAACCAUGGUCAGUUCGAUAUGCGGAUGUUGCAGCAGAACCAAGGGAUGUACGAAUACCCUGGUUACGAGAAUUCGAUGAAUUCAUCCUAUAUGGAACAACAACAAGAAAGU